ACUACGCAUGCUCAAAGCAGUUGGCCGUUGCCCAGCUGCAAUUUGAUUGUAUCUUGUCCGCGUAUUUUAAAGAAGAUAUUAACUGAAGUCACCAUGAACAACGGUGAUUAUCUUCUACAAUACACAUUUAAAAACAGUCCCUUGAAGAAAAUUGAUAUUAAAAAUCUCGGUGUGGUGCCCACCAGCUACGGGAUGUUGGUAUUUAACGAUAAACGUCUCGCAUUGCCCGUCCUUAUACCACCUUUACUCCACCUUUACGCCACAUCGCUGCGGAGAACAGGUUUUCAGUAUUUGAAGCAUCUUUCUGAGAGAAGGACAAUGCGGUUAAACUGGAUUUAGCUAGCUAGCCAGAUUGACAGCAGACAAGCGGAGAGAACAGCUGUCUGAAUGCCCCGCGGCUCGCGUGAAAAUAGACCUGGCGCAUAUCUUCAGUGGAGCGGAGAGCCGCUUCACACACGUUUCUGGAACGUGCCCGGCUGGUGGGAUAUCAAGCAUUGACUUGAAUGGCCGUGAUUGCUCGCGGGGGCCGCGGCACCUCCGGAAUGCAGCGCCGAUGCACCUGGUGGCAAAUACCGAGUCAGGCUGUACCGGACUCUCCCGAUGACCAUGCCGCCGAACGGCGGCACAGCGAGAAGCUGCUGACGGGCGCGGAGCGCUCUAUGCUGAAGCUAUG